CAGGUGGUCACAGAUGCCUUUGUAGACUCUUGGAGCUUCUUUUCACCUAUAAGGUGGAUAUAACCUGGAAGCCUCACCUGUGUGAGGGUAGGGUGUAGCUCCUUCCUAGACUUCACCAAGGUCCUUCCAGACCAGACUGACAACCUCUAAGUGCCUGGGGAACUGGCAGAGUGGCAUUCCCGGGCUGUGAAGCUGGGGCUAAGGUCUGCAGCACCUCGAAGGGAGAUGGGCCGCCCGGGACCCCUGGAGGAGAAAGUCUCCAACACCCAGCUGUCCGGAGCUCCUGAUGCCCCGGGGGAUGCUCCUGGUGAUGACAUCCACGGGACAGAGGAGUCAGACUUGGUGCCCUCUGUCACCCUGGCUGCAACCCUCAUUCUAUUGUUCCUCCUAAUGUCAUUCUGGCUGGCUUGGUCGCCCUGCCAAGCCUCCUACUAAGUGGGCUUCUGGGUGGAGGGCAGCAGAACAGGUGGGCUUCUAGCCCCUCUCUGGGUCAAUGACCCUCAGCGCUGUGGGAAAUUGUUGCAGGAGGCGCCUGUGGGACGCUACAGCCUGGACUCAUGCUCACCUGGCUUACUUCCCUUGAUGUCUGUCUUUAGUCAUGUCUCUCUCAUCUUUGUAAAGACAUGCUGGGGACUGUAGAUAAAGCUGAAUCACUUCA